AGAGCGAACGCUGGCGGCAGGCCUAACACAUGCAAGUCGAACGGAUCCUUCGGGAUUAGUGGCGGACGGGUGAGUAACACGUGGGAACGUGCCUUUAGGUUCGGAACAACACAGGGAAACUUGUGCUAAUACCGGAUGUGCCCUUCGGGGGAAAGAUUUAUCGCCUUUAGAGCGGCCCGCGUCUGAUUAGCUUGUUGGUGAGGUAAAGGCUCACCAAGGCUACGAUCAGUAGCU
rnacentral:rRNA from 1 species